CACAGUGGACGCAAACUUAUCCUCAAAUCCUCACCUGCUCAUCUCAUACAAAUAUUUUCUACUAUUCUAUUAAGAUCAUAUAUAUAUUGUUAAACAGAGCAGUAUUCCUCCUGAUUUCAUGGCCCACGUUGCCUUCAGUCUGUUGAGAGCAGAGAAAUAAUUUCCAUAGAGAGGAGGCUUUGCAUCGUCAGCUGAUCCUCCAGUGAACUCAGAAGGUUUAUAGUCCUGUGAGUUCAACACUGCAGGACUCAGAUCUGUCGGUCAACACAGCAGGAACCACAACCACCAUGACUCUCAUCACCAUCCUCAUCUGGACGCUGGCCUGCUGCUGUUUUACAGGAUGCAGCGGUCAGGUGACUGUGACUCAGCCUCCAGUAGUGACAUCUACUCCAGGAUCCACUGUCACUCUCACCUGUAAGACCAACCCAGCUGUUCAUUCAAACUGUGGUAGUGGUCAUCAAUGUAUGUUCUGGUAUCAACAGAAAUCUGGACAGGCACCAACGCUCCUCAUAAAACAAGUGAGCAUAAAACAUUCAGGAACACCAGCUCGGUUUAGUGGUAGUGGAAGCAGCUCUGACUUCACUUUGACCAUCACUGGAGUUCAGACUGAAGAUGCAGCAGUUUAUUACUGUCAGAGUUAUCACAGUGGUGGAGUGUUCACACAGUGAUUUGUAGUCGUACAAAAACCUCCCUCAGUCAGACUGCAGAGACUCUGAGCUGUAACAGCAGGAACCGACUGCAGCUGCUGAAGAGGAAGAGACUCUGACACAGACCACUGAACACAGAGCUGACAGUAAACUCACC